GCAUUGCUGAAGAGUCCCACAAUAGUACGAAACGGACUUCUAAUGC
rnacentral:hammerhead_ribozyme from 1 species